rnacentral:rRNA from 1 species
GAUGAACGCUGGCGGCGUGCCUAAUACAUGCAAGUCGAACGAAGAUCUAGCUUGCUAGAUCUUAGUGGCGAACGGGUGAGUAAUACAUAAAUAAUCUGCCCAUAUGACUGGGAUAACUAUUGGAAACGAUAGCUAAUACCGGAUAGGUUGAUUGGAGGCAUCUCUGAUUAAUUAAAGUAGGAUUUCUACACAAAUGGAUGAGUUUAUGGCGCAUUAGUUAGUUGGUGGGGUAACGGCCUACCAAGACGAUGAUGCGUAGCCGACCUGAGAGGGUGGCCGGCCACACUGGGACUGCGAAACGGCCCAGACUCCUGCGGGAGGAAGCAGUAGGGCAUUUUCGGCAAUGGGCGCAAGCCUGACCGAGCAACGCCGCGUUAGUGAUUAAGGCCUUCGGGUUGUAAAGCUCUGUUGUAAGGGAACAACAUCCAGGAUAGGAAAUGAUCUUGAACUGACGGUACCUUACCAGAAAGCCACGGCUAACUACGUGCCAGCAGCCGCCGUAA